AACUUUGUCCAAAAGUAAUCCAUCACAUUAGACAGUGCGUUGAUUAGUCUGCACAAGUCGGUCAGUUUUUGGCUGAAGGGUGCGGGACUCCAAUCUAGUAUUUACGCGAUAGCUGAUGGGGAGAGCAACAUUUGUCAUUAUAAGAACCCGUCUGGAUUAACCAUCUGAAAGAGGGGUGUCAGUUGACAAAGAUAUCU
rnacentral:snoRNA from 1 species